rnacentral:rRNA from 1 species
UGUAGCAAGGUUAACCGUAUAGGGGAGCCGCAGGGAAACCGAGUCUUAACUGGGCGUUAAGUUGCAGGGUAUAGACCCGAAACCCGGUGAUCUAGCCAUGGGCAGGUUGAAGGUUGGGUAACACUAACUGGAGGACCGAACCGACUAAUGUUGAAAAAUUAGCGGAUGACUUGUGGCUGGGGGUGAAAGGCCAAUCAAACCGGGAGAUAGCUGGUUCUCCCCGAAAGCUAUUUAGGUAGCGCCUCGUGAACUCAUCUUCGGGGGUAGAGCACUGUUUCGGCUAGGGGGUCAUCCCGACUUACCAACCCGAUGCAAACUACGAAUACCGAAGAAUGUUAUCACGGGAGACACACGGCGGGUGCUAACGUCCGUCGUGAAGAGGGAAACAACCCAGACCGCCAGCUAAGGUCCCAAAGUCAUGGUUAAGUGGGAAACGAUGUGGGAAGGCACAGACAGCCAGGAUGUUGGCUUAGAAGCAGCCAUCAUUUAAAGAAAGCGUAAUAGCUCACUGGUCGAGUCGGCCUGCGCGGAAGAUGUAACGGGGCUAAACCAUGCACCGAAGCUGCGGCAGCGACACUAUGUGUUGUUGGGUAGGGGAGCGUUCUGUAAGCCUGCGAAGGUGUGCUGUGAGGCAUGCUGGAGGUAUCAGAAGUGCGAAUGCUGACAUAAGUAACGAUAAAGCGGGUGAAAAGCCCGCUCGCCGGAAGACCAAGGGUUCCUGUCCAACGUUAAUCGGGGCAGGGUGAGUCGACCCCUAAGGCGAGGCCGAAAGGCGUAGUCGAUGGGAAACAGGUUAAUAUUCCUGUACUUGGUGUUACUGCGAAGGGGGGACGGAGAAGGCUAUGUUAGCCGGGCGACGGUUGUCCCGGUUUAAGCAUGUAGGCUGAUUGUCCAGGCAAAUCCGGAUAAUCAAGGCUGAGGUGUGAUGACGAGGCACUACGGUGCUGAAGUAACAAAUGCCCUGCUUCCAGGAAAAGCCUCUAAGCAUCAGGUAACAUCAAAUCGUACCCCAAACCGACACAGGUGGUCAGGUAGAGAAUACCAAGGCGCUUGAGAGAACUCGGGUGAAGGAACUAGGCAAAAUGGUGCCGUAACUUCGGGAGAAGGCACGCUGGUGUGUAGGUGAAGUCCCUGCGGAUGGAGCUGAGACCAGUCGAAGAUACCAGCUGGCUGCAACUGUUUAUUAAAAACACAGCACUGUGCAAACACGAAAGUGGACGUAUACGGUGUGACGCCUGCCCGGUGCCGGAAGGUUAAUUGAUGGGGUUAUCCGUAAGGAGAAGCUCUUGAUCGAAGCCCCGGUAAACGGCGGCCGUAACUAUAACGGUCCUAAGGUAGCGAAAUUCCUUGUCGGGUAAGUUCCGACCUGCACGAAUGGCGUAAUGAKGCCAAGCUGCCUCCACCCGAGACUCAGUGAAAUUGACCUCGCUGUGAAGAUGCAGUGUACCCGCGGCAAGACGGAAAGACCCCGUGA